AUACCAUGGUGGCAGAACACUGAUAAAAUAUGACACUUGAAAGAUUACAGUAUAUACAUAUGCUCUUCUGAAAUUCUUCAGAGAUACUCUUCCAUCAGCAUUUUUCUGGCAUUCUCUCCAUUGAUUUCACUAGCAUAUUUCUAGUGGCUUUCAUCUCGGUAUAGGGGAAAUGGUUUUGUUCCUCUUCUGCUGUAGCAUGCAUCUUCGAUGGCCGUAAGAUAAAGACAACUCGCAGAUAUCUUGGUAAAGCAGAAACCUCUUGCAUCAGCUGUUGUGGGAAGAUAUCUUCCUCAGCCAGGCAGCUUGCUUAUCCAAAGUGCACAGCCAGCAUUUUUCUAGCAGCUGCAGUGGUGGGUUGUUUUUUUUUCAUGUCAACAUUACAUAUUUUUAAUUAUCCUAUUAUCAUAAGGCAAGAUGGUGCGGAGUUCUGAGUGGGAACAUUAACAAUUUUAUAAAAAUAAAUAAGCCAUGCCGCUGUCAUUUUAUGAGAGAUAAUUCAGUAAAAGACUUGUGGGUCAAACUAUACAGCACUCACUGCUGUAUAAUAUUUCUCUAAUCUUCACAUAGUUCCAGAAGAAGAAAAAUGUCAUUGCUGUGCCAGCACAGAAUCAGAUAGCGCCAAACAGGUAGUUGCCCACUUUUUUACUACAGUAAGUGAUUGACAUAACUGAACGGGGAGAGACACUUACAUUUUUUGCUGCAUGAAAAUGUCAUAGCCAAUCUGGAAAAUGCCAGAUAAUGUAGCGAAUGUUAUUGUUUUGCAAAAAUACAUCAACAAUUAUUUUUAAAGAGUGGGAAGAGCUCAAGAGAAGACUUUGGUGAAGAAAGCAUAUGGAUAGAGCAGCAGCGACAAAAGGAAGCAAACAGUAUCUUAUUGCCCUUUGCCUCAAGCCAAAACCAAUCACUUUGGGAAGGAGUACAGCUCCCAGGGACCCACCAGAAUGGACAGGAUCUGAUGGACAGGACCCACCAGAAUGGACAGGAUAUUGAACCCUUGAUCCCACAGUUUUCAUGAGAGUAGUAGCUGGCUUCAGUCUACAUGUGGUUGUCUGCACAUUUUUUUUACUUGUUCUGGCAUGUGGCAAUUCCCUGUAGCAGGAAAGCUGGGGUAGAGAAUGCUUUGCUCAAGAAGGGUUUUUA